ensembl:lncRNA
GUCCUGAGCACAAGUCCACAUGGCUGAUCCUGUUACAAAGAAUCUCAAUAGACUGUCUUCACUAAAGACAGAAGUCUAAUUUAUAUGAGCUCAGGCUCUCCCACCUUCUCUGGAAAAUAGUGUAGGUUCUCCCCAUCUUUAUUCAUUCUUGUGAUUUUUUUUUAGAGGGGAAGUAGAACUUCACACACCAUGUCUGACUGUGCUGAAACUCUCCAAAUCAAUCAGAUGAAGGGCCUCUGUCCACUUCUCGUGAGGUAACACGGCAGCUUCUUGGCUGGAUGAUGCAUGCAGAGCGCUCUGGUUACAGGCUCAGGGUGUCAGCUUCGGUCCCUCCCUCCUGUUCCGUGCAGGGAGGCGUUCUGUUCUCCCCAUAUGGUGCAGAGCGGGGCAUCACGCACUUGGCCCUAGAAGUGAUGGCUUUGCUGCUUGCUCUCAACGUCUGGGAAGCCAUGGCACCGAGUCCAGAGCUUUGGCAGAGAGCUGGCCUGAGUCUCUUGCAGCAGCAGGAUGGGCCCCAGGAGGUAGAGGUGAAUCAUGGGACCCAGGAGGGGAAACUGUACUUGCUAAUUUUAAAAUCCCUGCUUGAUACAUUGGUGACGCUGUUUUAUUAUUUUCCUGGGAAAAUGCACCAAAUAGAGGAAAUGGCAGUGACACAGAAAAAUAUUUCCGAGCUUAGAGUGUCAUUAUUAAUCCCAUGAUUUCCAGAUGGAAUUCAUUCACUUGGAGAAGCAGAGACUACUUGGCAGAAAGGACCACAUGCAAAAUCCUUGCAGCAGCCUGAGAUCAAUGUCUACUCAAACAAAGGAUGCAUGAGGAAGCUGGGUUUCAUGGCUGCUUUUAGUCAUCGAGGCCCUGAGGACCAAUAAGUGAUCAAACUUGGCCAUUUAGAGAAUUUUUUCUCCACAAGGUAAAUAGAUGUCCAAGUACAACUGCUCACAUGUAACGAGGAGAAGUCAGAAUUCUAUUCUCCUAUUUUAUGUUUUUUAAAGUGGUGAUUCUUUCACCUGAUGGAAAACACUAAACACAGAUUAACACUACCGACAAAGGGCUGCCUGUCAAGUGAGACUCAGCUUUGGGGCCAGCAAGACUGAAUCGAGGGCUUCCCGGUGGCACUAGUGGUAAAGAACCCGUCUGCCAAUGCAGGUCAGACAUAAGACAGGCUGGCCUGAUCCCUGGGUCGGGAAGAAACCCUGGAGAAGGGCAUGGCAACCCACUCCAGUAUUCUUGCUGGGAGAAUCCCAUGGACAGAGGAGCCUGGCAGGCUACCAUAGGGUCAUACAGAGUUGGGCACAACUGAAGCAGCUUAGCAUGGCACCCACGGCAAGACUGAAUCGAUGUGAAAGUCCUGAAGGGUCUGCUGGCAGUGUCCCAGAUGGCAGGCAGCCAUGCUCCCCAGACUCCCUGAGGAAGUCAACCUGGCUCCCUGAGCCCCUCUCUGCUCUGACAUGAUGAUCCCCUGGGUAGGAUGUUGGAGAAAUAAAAGCAGGAGGUUUGCUGUAAUCUUUUUUACA